AUUGCUGCCUUGGCAUGUGUUCAAUCUCUGGCUCAGGAACUUCCAUAUGCCGCAGGCAUGCCCCCACACCAAAAGUAUUGUAUUGCCUGGCACAGAGAAAACCCUUAAAAUGAAUAAUCUAUUUUUUGGGUAGUGUUUUUGGCUGCACCUGUGGCACGUGGAAGUUCCUAGGUCAGGGAUUGAACCUGUGCAAAGGCAAUGACCUGAGCCACUGUAGUGACAGUGCUGAAUCGUUAACCCACUUUGCCACAAAAGAACUCCUGAAUAAGCAAUUGUUAUUACCCCAAUUUCAGCUGGAGAAACUUAGGCUUAGGGAGAUUAACUAAUUAGCUCAAGAUCACCCAGCUAUUAAGGUGGAAUGUACCAUUAUUGGAACUAGAUUCUUCAUUUGCAGAAACCAAGGACUUCAUUUUUACAUGGUAUUGAGUCUGGAAAAGGACAAUCAAGUAAGAACUGCAGUUAGAUUUUUUUUUUUUAAAGUAGGCUAACAGUCUAAACAUUUUGAAAUUUGCCUGCUACAUUGUAGGGCCAGGACUUUGGUGGGACUUUAAACUAUUUACUUUGCUAAAACCACCAAGGUUUUGAAUCUCAGAGAAGGGAUCUUUCAUUAUUUUUCUUCCUUCUCAGUACAGUCCUGACUUGUUUUCUCCUGUCUCAGCAGUCCUAGAAAAUGUCCAAAACAUGGCAAAAGCACUCUUGCUAUAAAGUAUAUGAAGAGGAGUUCCUGUUGUGGCGCAGGGGUUAACGAAUCCAACUAGGAACCAUGAGGUUACGGGUUCGAUCCCUGGCCUUGCUCAGUGGGUUAAGGAUCCAGCGUUGCUGUGAGCUGUGGUGUAGGUGUGGCUCGGAUCCCCUGUUGCUGUAGCUGUGGCAUAGGCCAGUGGCUACGGCUCCGAUUAUACCCUAGCCUGGGAAUCUCCAUAUGCCGAGGGAGCAGCCCUAGAAAUGGCAAAAAGACACACACACAAAAAAGUAUAUGAAUAAAUUUAUCUAAUAGAAAAUGCUACAUAAGAAGGAUUAAGUGGGCACAUGGGCAUUGAGGAUUCCAAGAUAACAUCAGUCUACUAAGUUCAUUCUAUUUCAUUCCUUUGGGCAGCCAGACUUAGAUGGGAAAUAUUGAGGGAUGCUAGUUUCUAUGCAGCUUCUUGGCCUCUAUGGCAAGCACUGAAUAUAGGGAACAACCAAGAAAUCCCUCUCAGCUUUUAGGCAAACCAUUAACUUUUCCCUCUAUGCUUGAACUUCUGCUGGCUCUGGCCUUGAUUCUUUGGUUGCUUAAGUUGUGAUUGCAGCAUACCAUACUUUCCGGGAAGCUGCAAGACACUAGCUGUUGACUAUUAAUAUACUGUUGACCUGGAAGCUGCAUGCUAAAUCCUUUUUAGUGUGGCCAUAGGAGGAGAAUUUAAUUGCUUUGACUUAUGAUGGAACAUUUUCUUCCUUUUUGCUUCUGAAGUCUUGCCAGAGACAUAUUCUACCUCACUUGACCUUCCAAGAUCUUUCUCUGUACCCAGUUGGUCCUCUGAUUCUUACUUCUUUUCAUACUUUACUCUUGUGUUUCCAUCUUUCAACACUUAUAAUUAUCCACUAUACUUCAAGGUCAUUGAGGGUAAGAAAUAUGUAUGCAUAUAGCCUCAUAGGUGUCAUGGGUUUUUCUGGGCACUGGAGAUAUCUAUAAGACACUCUCAAUCUAUAUAUACUGACUAAAUAAACCAAUGAAUGAAUUAAUGGAUCCUACUCAUCUGCUCUUGAGAGGACCUAGCAAUAUAUACUUCCAUGUUAGAAGUUAUUGGAAGAUAAAGGAUUGAAUAGACAUUUACUUAAAUACAUGCACUCCUUUGAAUUAUGGCCCAAAGUCAAAUUUUUAGCCAAACUAGCAAUACUUCAGAACUUCAUAACUUUCAAAUCUGUAGGUACUAGGAAGUUCUAAGACUAUGACUUGAUUGAAAUCCUCCAGUUUUUUCACUUGUCAGAACUCAGUGCUAUUCUGAGAGGGUGUUCUGAUAUCCCCAUGGUAACAGGGCUCCAUUAAGGGUGGGACACCACAAAACUGUGCUUGUUUGAGGACACCUGGGAAUUUCAGAUAGUAGACGGAAAUACCAUUAAAGGCAAAUUAUACAUACAUAGUCUGUAUAAUUAUGUGCACAUGCAGAGAUAUGCCUAAUUUAGCCACACUUUUCAUUCUGUCCCAUUUAUCAUUAGGCUUUUAACAACUCAAAUCUCAAGCAUAGGUAGAGUUUAAGGUGUUUUAUCUUCUUGAAGAAGAGCUCAUCUGAAUUUUGGGAUAAAUAUCUACUGUUAAUGUGGUGCUGCUCUUGAGAAGAAAAGAAAAAAAUCAAAUCCUUUGCUGAUCUACUUAUUUCUUUUAACAAAAUUAAGGGAAUGUUGAUUCUUAACACACUUGAGAUGGGUAAAAACAUCAUCACUACGCAAAAUUAUCCACCACCAUGUACUUGCCUGGCCGUUCAUAGCUUAGGUCAGUUUGAGUAGCCUGCUUGAAUGGAAUGUUUUAGAGUUAUGAGAAGGGAUUGUACAGACAACCUGGGCCAGGUCAUUUGAAGUGUAUUUUAUGUCUUUUUUUUUCUGAUUAAAAAGUUAAAAUAUUCAAACCAUUUGAUAUUUUGUAGAUGCUUCUGAAUACUUUGCACAGUGUCUGAAAAAGGAAAAGAUUUAAAAAAACACAGAAGGGUCCAUGGAUUUAAGAAUGGUCUUGAUUCCCUCAUCAUUAGGAUAAUUGUUCUGCUUGGUAAUGGAUUCUGUUCCUAUCAGAGACAAUGGUUUUAAUGGGUCCCUUUUUCAUGAAAUACAAUGAAGCUGGGAAACAUCUAUGUCAGGCUGGAUUAACUAUGAGAAUGCAGGAAAAUGUGACAAGGUGAAAGGCUAGCUAUGAAGCUAGUUAUCUCAUAAAUAAUAUGUUUGAUAGAACUUAGAAGAAGAAAAUGCUAAUAAUUUGAAUAGCUUGUGUUGGAGCAACACGUGUAUAAGAGUUUCCACUGGCUGGAGAGGUACUUCAGCCGAGUAUUUACCAAGGUGACUUUUCUCUCCAGGGUGAUUUUAAAGGUCCUUGGUGUACCUGUCUGUCCCCCAGCCCCAACUGCCUUCCUUGCACAUUCCUUGAAAUUGGUAAAGAUGUGAGACUGAACACCUGGCUUUGUUUAUGAUGUUGAGUUGAACUGAGUUCUUUUAGCUGAAAGGCUAGUAGUGCUGUUUUUCUAAAUAAUAUCUAUGUGUGGACCCUCACUGACGUUCACUUUUUGGUUAUGAGAAAUAAUUUGUUGCAUUUUAUGCAACUCAGAUGUGUCCUGAGCAGUGGUCUCCAUCAGGAUUUUUCCUGAGGGUUAGGUGAACAAAAUAUCUGAGCAUCAAAAAUUACUUUCUCUGUGUCUGUUAAAUCUCAUAUGAUUUAAAAAAAUAUUUUUUUUCCUUAUAGAAAAAAAAAGUUCAAAUAGACGGUUAAAUUUGGAAGGAAACUUAGAAAACAUAAUUCAAUCUCUUCAUUUUUGAAAAUGAAGAGACUAAGCCAGAAGAAGAAACUAAACCAACCAUUAAUUUGUAGCAGGACUAUUGCAAUAAAUCAGCAAUCACAGCUUCUUACGUUUCUUGCUUAAGUACUUGUGGAGAUCUAGGUACCUAAAAAAUAUGUAUUCCUACUAUAUGUAGACACACAUAGAUGUAACUACACGAUUUACAUAUAUAUGUAAAUAGAGCUUGAAUUCUAAUUUUAUCUUACCCUUUAUGGCUAAAAUGUGGUCUGUGGACAUGCAGACACACCAGGGACUUGUCAGAGAUGCAGAAUCUCAGCAUCUAUCCCAGACCUACUGAAUCUCAACCUGCAUCCUAAUAGGAUCCCUGGGUGAUUCAUAUGCAUUACAUUUGAGAAGCUCUGUUUUAACAAUUCCUGUUUUUCUGUGAUAAUGAAGUGUAGUUAUUCAGAACCCAGAGAUAACCUAAAAUGUUCAUUAUGUAUGUUAAUUUCUCAUCUUUUUCUCUCUUUCACUAAAUUUUAGUCACUUCCUGCUGCUUUAAAAUAAAAUGAUAUCGAAAUUUAUCACUUCUACUGCACUCCUGCCUCUUAGUAGAAAAGGUGGCCUUAGGUUUGUAGUUUUCCUCCUUCCUUUCAAAUAACAAUUUUUAAUAUGUUUUGCAUGUUUGUUCUGUGCCCCCAAAUGUGCUAAGCACUUCACAUUCAUUAUGUCCUUUCAUCCACGCAGUGAUGGUCUGAGGUUAUAAUGAUCAUAAUAACUACAUUUUAUGAAAGAGGAAACUGAAACUGAAAGAGAUGAACUAACAGGAUGUGUCGGGGCUUGGACUUGAACUGAGAUUUGGCUUAUUCCAGAAUAUAAAUGUUAACCACAGCAUGUAUUUCCUCUGCAAUUCAAAGCUCUAAUUUGCUUCACCCAAGCGUUUAUGCCUCUGAAAAAUUGUUAUCUUACUAAGUAAAAACCAGAAGUCAAACUUAUCACAACCCCUGGUACCUAGUGGGCACUUAAUAAAUAUUUGUUGAAUAAAUGUAUGAAUCAGUGAAAAAGCCUAAGUCUCCCUGAUAAGGAAGCACAAGCUCCACACCAAGAGAAAGAGCAGAUAUCCAAAGGAAGAGACAUUUCCUAUUUUAGGGCAGCUGAUGAUUCCUUGGGGUCCCUAGUCCCUCUACCGCCUUCCUGUUUUCCUUUACCUUUGACCUAUAUAUUACUGUAAAUGCCUUACUGUUCUACAUUUUCAAGUUUUUUUAAUGCUUUUCUGUUGUCUUAGAUAGUCUUCCAACAGGAGGACUGAGGGCAAAUCUAGUGACAUCCUUGGAGACCCAGAGCUACUAUUUCAGAGAUUCUGAGCAAGUCCCAUUAACCUUUAAUCCUUUUCCAUUUCCUGGGGAUUUCAGAACCAGAGCAUCAUGCUUUGGGUUAAAACUUUAUGUUAGGAGACUUUUGUACAUUAGUGUCAGUGAGAGAUCAAGAACCAGUCCUUGGGGAAGGAAGAAAAAUAUAGGGACCCUGAAUGCCUGGACUAAGAGAGAAGGGGGUCGAGGAAAAACAGAGGCUGAGCCAUCUGCGAAGUCACUCUGGGAGAACUGAAGAGGAGUGGCCUGUUACCCACUCCAGAGCAGUGCUGGCUCUGAUGAGGUACCAGUGGUAGGCAGCCAGCAAAGAGCAAGGGGUGCCCCUGAAUAUUGGCCUCGACUCUGCAGCUGCCAACUUGUGUGGACUUGGUACAAGGAGACAAGAGUAACAUCAUUCUGGAUCUCAUUCCCUAAGCUAUAUAGCUGGGGGACUUGGGGUGUUUGUUGUGGCCUGUGCACAGGUUGGAAAAGAGUUUCCAGAUUCAGAGCAGAGUGGAGAGAAAGAUGAGUUUAUUGAGGCAAGAAACACUGCUAGCACAGUGGGAGGACUUUCUGAUGAUCAGGGAGAGGGGACCUCAAGCGUGUGGUCAUGUCUGUUUUUAUAGCCUGGGGACAAAGGAAAGAGGAGUGGUCUUACCAUACACUUGCUGGUUCACUGGGAGCAUAUAAUUUCCCUAUGGAAGUGAGGAGAGGAGUGGGCCAAAUGCCUUUACUAAUAUGCCACAGGAGAGAGUAGGUCAGGUUGCUGAAAGGGGAAGGAGGCUCAAGAACUUUGUAACAGUUGCAGUGAGAUUGAUGGGUGAUAAUUAUUUGGUAAUUUUUAUCCUGGCCAGGGGCUCUUUGAGUUUAUCUCAUUGGCAUGGCCUUGAAGUCCCACAAUGUUUAGGCAUUUAUUUCCUUCUCUUUGAGAGGUUUAAAAACAAAGGGAUUCUAAAUUGGAAAAGUGUCAGGCAGGGCUCUGUGGAGAUGGGUUUAAGAGGGCCAAGCAAGGAGAGUGUAGCUUAUAUCUGCUUGGAUAGUUUGGCCUGUGGACUCCUCCCUGGCCUGGGACCUGUAUUCUGGUCAGUGGUGUCCUUGAAUUUGGGGAACAGCCCCCAAGCAACAUGUUAGCCCAUUGCACCAGCUGAUUAUCAGACCUGCAAAAUCUUUAUGCUAUCUAAAUUCCCAACAUAUAUGGCCCCUCUGUGGGUUGAGGGGGGAAGAGGCACACCUAAAGAGAUAUUUUGGGAUUGGUAGAGGAUGUUUUUUCAAUCCCUAAGCUGACAAUGCUGAUUUGAAUGUCAUUCACUAUUUUAUGAUUUUUAUUUUAUAAAUGAUUAAUAUAUUAAAAAUAAUCUGUGUCCUCUCUGCACUCAUUGAUUAUCUGUGUAUAUGUUUGAUUUAGUUUCCAGGGUAGAGAAACAUCUUUGCUAACCAAUUUAUGGCCCUUAAGCUAGGAUUAUAUGAAAAAUUGAUUUAGAUCUCCUCAUUUAUCCAACCCAGAUAUGUGGGGCAUUAGCUGCAUGCAGACUUCAUGAAGGAGUUGGAUGCCUCUGCUUUUAAAGAACUCCUAUUAUAGGGAGGAGAUAGGCAUGCCAACAGGUCAUUGUAUUAUAAUGAGGUAACUGUAAUAGAAUGACACAAAUGAUAUAGUGGAGGAGUUCUCAUCGUGGCACAGUGGAAACGAAUCCAACUAGGAAUCAUGAGGUUGUGGGUUUGAUCCCUGGCCUAGCGCAGUUGGUUGAGGAUCUGGCGUUGCCAUGAGUUGUGGUGUAGGUUGCAGAUAAUGCUCAGAUCUGGCAUUGCUGUGGCUGUGGUGUAGGCUGGCAGCUGUAGCUCCGAUUGGACCCCUAGCCUGGGAACCUCCGUAUGCCAUGAGUGCGGCCCUAAAAA
ensembl:lncRNA